rnacentral:lncRNA from 1 species
GCGGAAUUACAAUAUGGCCAUAGCCUUCUGGGUGGGCUUAAGACAGAGGCCAGAUAGAAGGUUGCUCAUCGAGAGAAAGACUUGAGAAAGCUUUCCAUUGUAUAUAAAUACACUUUCGUAUCGGAAAAGGGCAUAGCUGCAAUUCAAAGACAGAGAAAAGCGUAUAAGCGCAAAAAAGGCGCCUCUGGAAUUAUGAAAUCCUCUUCUAGGUUAUAGUUAAAGCCGCUAAUAGAAAACCUGUUGUUGAAAAGUCAGGACCCGUACGGAGGCGUGCAAAGGUUUGACCUCGCCAAAGAGAUUCACUUAAGCUUGACUUCAAUUGGCACACACAACAUUACCCCAAGGAUCUCAAACUGGAGAAAGAGAACUCUUGUCUUCUGCCACUGUUUGUUAAGUUGGCUUUGUACAUGCCUUCUUGGUUCAUAUUCAAGUUUCGAGAUGGUCCAUAUAUUUAAGGAGAUGGCUGACUGGUUGAGGCAAUUUAGUAUGCUCCAACCUCUAGGGUCUGCGUGUGUGGGGGGUUGAGGAGGGAGGGUAGUACUACAGGCUGCUUGAUGUAUUAAUUGAGGUGCGGAUACAUCUUGUCAAAAAGAACUUGAAUCUUGAGGUGCAGGUAAAAUGAUUCGGA